ACGAAGGUCCUGCUGAGGUUCUAGAUUCUGGCAGCCAAGUGUCUGAGUGGAGUCGAGGCUGGGAACAGAUAGAUACUUUGCCCCCGCCUUUGGAUGCAGUAACUGCUGGUCAGGUGGGGAAGCACAGACAAGAAAAGAACCAGCUGCAAAGAAAACCGCCACUGGCCCAUGCCCACCUGGCCAGAUCUCCACACCACCACACUCCUGUUGGCCUACAUCUUAAAAGCCAGUGAAAAAGAAAUGCAAAAGCAAAACCACCUCGCUGCGUCUGGAAGGUCUUGAACCUCCAGGCCUGAAGGCACCUGGAAUUUGCUGUGCGAAGCUUCUUCUUGUUUUUCUAGACAAUUUAUUUCACAUCCCAUUACUGACUUAGAAGAUUAAAAGCUUCUGCACUGCCCUAAACUAGUUCACCAGGCCAAAAACAGAGUGAAAACUGCUUCAUACAUGUUCAACUCUGCUACUGGUGUCCAGGGCUUCAAAAAGAAGAGGAAGCAUAGCUUUUCUGGCGUCUGCCCCUGGGUCCCACCCCUAGUAGCUGGGCCACACGCUGGCCCGGCAAUGAGGUGGCUGAGGGCCAGGCGGGGCCCUGGCGAAACAGUUCAUCCUCAGGUGGGCUUGCCUGCCUUGUCCAGGGACUCCACGACAGCCCAAGGCCCUGUCUGGGCUGCAGCAAGGCGCCACCUUUUCUGUCCUUUCCUCCCAGAGGGUAGUGUGGAAGCCCCCGCCCAAGACUUGGUCACAGAAAAAAUCUCAGCUAAGUGUGGCUCUACCCACCCUGGAGCACAGGCAGAAUUCCAGUGGGGCCAAUAGCGCCCCUCAGCUGGGACAUGAUGUGAGAAAAGCUGUGGCUCUGGUGAGCUGAGCCCGACCCCCAGGACUCUUGGCCUACCUUGCCCCGGGAGGAUACCAGAGCAACAUCCAAGAAGCACCAAUGGAAGCCAAGAGUGUAAUGAACAGACACACACCCACCCCACCCCCCCCCACACACACACAGGAAAAAGCUACAGCACCUGUGAUAGCGGCUCUGGGGCUGGG
ensembl:lncRNA